rnacentral:lncRNA from 1 species
UAACAUUGAUUUUGUAAAAAAUUACAAUAUAUGCCAUUAGAGAUCUCUAAUCAUAAUCAUUUUAAUUCCAUGUCACUAAUAUAUAUUAACGGUUCAACGGGUCAAACAGGUUUAAAGAUAUUAAAGAGAUUUUGUUUAGAUUUUAUAAUUGUUAUAAAUAAAAUUUAUAAAGAAAAUGUUGUUAUUCACGUAUGAUAAA